rnacentral:rRNA from 1 species
UACAGAGGGGGCAAGCGUUGUUCGGAAUUACUGGGCGUAAAGCGUGCGUAGACGGUUAUUUAAGUCGGGUGUGAAAGCCCCGGGCUCAACCUGGGAAUUGCAUUCGAGACUGAAUAGCUAGGGUACGGUAGAGGGAAGUGGAAUUUCCGGUGUAGCGGUGAAAUGUGUAGAGAUCGGGAGGAACACCGGUGGCGAAGGCGGGUCUCUGGGCAAUUCCUGACGCUGAGGCGCGAAAGCGUGGGGAGCAAACGGG